UGAGGAAUAUUGGUCAAUGGACGAGAGUCUGAACCAGCCAAGUCGCGUGAAGGAAGAAGGUUCUAUGGAUUGUAAACUUCUUUUGUAAGGGAAUAAAAAAGAGUACGUGUACUCUAUUGUAUGUACUUUACGAAUAAGGAUCGGCUAACUCCGUGCCAGCAGCCGCGGUAAUACGGAGGAUCCGAGCGUUAUCCGGAUUUAUUGGGUUUAAAGGGUGCGUAGGCGGACUUAUAAGUCAGCGGUGAAAGUUUGCAGCUUAACUGUAAAAUUGCCGUUGAAACUGUUAGUCUUGAGUGUAAAUGAGGUAGGCGGAAUGUGUUGUGUAGCGGUGAAAUGCUUAGAUAUAACACAGAACACCAAUUGCGAAGGCAGCUUACUGGGAUACAACUGACGCUGAGGCACGAAAGCGUGGGGAUCAAACAGG
rnacentral:rRNA from 3 species